AGAUUGAACGCUAGCGGGAUGCUUUACACAUGCAAGUCGAACGGCAGCGCGGACUUCGGUCUGGCGGCGAGUGGCGAACGGGUGAGUAAUAUAUCGGAACGUGCCCAGUAGCGGGGGAUAACUACGCGAAAGCGUGGCUAAUACCGCAUACGCCCGUACGGGGGAAAGGGGGGGAUCGCAAGACCUCUCACUAUUGGAGCGGCCGAUAUCAGAUUAGCUAGUUGGUGAGGUAAAGGCUCACCAAGGCGACGAUCUGUGGCUGGUUUGAGAGGACGACCAGCCACACUGGGACUGAGACACGGCCCAGACUCCUACGGGAGGCAGCAGUGGGGGAAUUUUGGACAAUGGGGACGAAAAGCCUGAUCCCAAGCCCAU
rnacentral:rRNA from 1 species